CCUACGGGAGGCAGCAGUGGGGAAUAUUGGACAAUGGGCGAAAGCCUGAUCCAGCAAUGCCGCGUGAGUGAUGAAGGCCUUAGGGUUGUAAAGCUCUUUUACCAGGGAUGAUAAUGACAGUACCUGGAGAAUAAGCUCCGGCUAACUCCGUGCCAGCAGCCGCGGUAAUACGGAGGGAGCUAGCGUUGUUCGGAAUUACUGGGCGUAAAGCGUACGUAGGCGGUUAUUCAAGUCAGAGGUGAAAGCCUGGAGCUCAACUCCAGAACUGCCUUUGAAACUAGAUAGCUAGAAUCUUGGAGAGGUGAGUGGAAUUCCGAGUGUAGAGGUGAAAUUCGUAGAUAUUCGGAAGAACACCAGUGGCGAAGGCGACUCACUGGACAAGUAUUGACGCUGAGGUACGAAAGCGUGGGGAGCAAACAGGAUUAGAUACCCUGGUAGUCCACGCCGUAAACGAUGAUAACUAGCUGUUCGGGCUCUACGAGCUUGAGUGGCGCNGCUACGACAUUAAGUUAGUCCGUCCGUCGGGUAGGUACGGUCGGCGAAGAAGUUAAACGUUAACGUAAAGUUAAAGUUAGUACGGACGUUGAGACGNGCGACGGACGACGACGAGGGAGGAGG
rnacentral:rRNA from 1 species